rnacentral:rRNA from 1 species
AGAGUUUGAUCAUGGCUCCCGAUGAACGUUGGCGGUGUGCCUAAUACUUGCCAGUCGAAGGGGAUAAAUAGCAAUAUUGACUUACCGGCGAACGGGUGACUAACCCGCUUGUGAUCUGCCUCGCCACUGUGGAAUAGCGUUCCGAUAGGAACGCUCAUACCUGAUGCGCUCUCGCGUUUUACAAACUUGAUAGUAAAGGAUUUAUUCGCUUCCAGACGAACCUGCGUCCCAUCAUCUAGUUGGCAAGGCAAUAAGCUGCCAAGGCUUAGACGGAUCGGGGACCUGAUAGGGUGGCCCCCCACGAUGGAACUGAAACACGGUCCAUACAGCUAUGGGUGGCAGCAGUAUGGAAUAUUAGAAAUGGACGAUCGGCUGAUCUAGCUGACACCGCGUGUGCGACGAAUGCCUUCGGGUUGUACAGCACUUCUUUGGAAGGAAUAGGAACGAAGGUACUUCCAGAAUAAGUCUCGGCUAGCUACGUGCCAGCACCCGCGGGAACACGUACGAGGCAAACGUUAUCCGGAUUUACUGCGCGUAAAGCGCGUGUAGGCUGGUCAGUAAAGAAGGCGUGAAAGCUCCCGGCUCAACUGGGGAGAGGCCGCUCUAAAAUGCAGAACUACAGGAUGGCAAAAGGGGGGGUGGCAAUCC